rnacentral:rRNA from 1 species
UACGUAGGGGGCUAGCGUUGUCCGGAAUCAUUGGGCGUAAAGCGCGCGUAGGCGGUCAGGUAAGUCCGGUGUGAAAGUCAAAGGCUCAACCUUUGAAUGCCGCUGGAUACUGCUUGACUUGAGUCCGGAAGGGGCGAGUGGAAUUCCUGGUGUAGCGGUGAAAUGCGCAGAUAUCGGGAAGAACACCCGUGGCGAAGGCGGCUCUCUGGGACGGUACUGACGCUGAGACGCGAAAGCGUGGGGAGCGAACAGG